rnacentral:rRNA from 1 species
GGGGCAUCGGGGAGGAGGGCUUGCCCUCCUCUGCCGGCGACCGGCGCACGGGUGAGUAACACGUAUGCAACCUGCCCGNCACANANGGAUAAGCGGAAGAAAUUCCGUCUAAUACCGCAUGACACCCCGAGGGGACAUCCCCUCGGGGUCAAAGGANCNAUCCGGUGACGGAUGGGCAUGCNCUGCNUUNNUUAGUUGGCGGUGUAACNGACCACCNAGACGACGAUGCAUAAGGGGUUCUGAGAGGAAGAUCCCCCACACUGGUACUGAGACACGGACCAGACUCCUACGGGAGGCANCAGUGAGGAAUAUUGGUCAAUGGNCGAGAGGCUGAACCAGCCAAGUCNCGUGAGGGAAGACGGCCCUACGGGUUGUAAACCUCUUUUGUCGGGGAGCAAAAGGANCCACGCGUGGCUCUGUUCGAGAGUACCCGAAGAAAAAGCAUCGGCUAACUCCGUGCCAGCAGCCGCGGUAAUACGGAGGAUGCGAGCGUUAUCCGGAUUUAUUGGGUUUAAAGGGGUGCGUAGGCGGAAUCGUAAGUCAGUGGUCAAAUUGAGAGGCUCANCCUUCUUCCCGCCAUUGAAACUGCGGUUCUUGAGUGAGCGAGAAGUAUGCGGAAUGCGUGAUGUANCGGUGAAAUGCAUAGAU